AGAGUUUGAUCCUGGCUCAGAGUGAACGCUGGCGGCGUGCCUAAUACAUGCAAGUCGAACGGAGAUUAAGUAGCUUGCUAUUUAAUCUUAGUGGCGCACGGGUGAGUAAUAUAUAGCUAAUCUGCCCUACACUAGAGGACAACAGUUGGAAACGACUGCUAAUACUCUAUACUCCUUCUAAGCAUAAGCUUAGUCGGGAAAGUUUUUCGGUGUAGGAUGAGGCUAUAUCGUAUCAGCUAGUUGGUGAGGUAAUGGCUCACCAAGGCUAUGACGCGUAACUGGUCUGAGAGGAUGAUCAGUCACACUGGAACUGAGACACGGUCCAGACUCCUACGGGAGGCAGCAGUAGGGAAUAUUGCUCAAUGGGGGAAACCCUGAAGCAGCAACGCCGCGUGGAGGAUGACACUUUUCGGAGCGUAAACUCCUUUUCUUGGGAAAGAAUUAUGACGGUACCCAAGGAAUAAGCACCGGCUAACUCCGUGCCAGCAGCCGCGGUAAUACGGAGGGUGCAAGCGUUACUCGGAAUCACUGGGCGUAAAGGACGCGUAGGCGGAUUAUCAAGUCUCUUGUGAAAUCUAACGGCUUAACCGUUAAACUGCUUGGGAAACUGAUAAUCUAGAGUAAGGGAGAGGCAGAUGGAAUUCUUGGUGUAGGGGUAAAAUCCGUAGAGAUCAAGAAGAAUACCCAUUGCGAAAGCGAUCUGCUGGAACUUAACUGACGCUAAUGCGUGAAAGCGUGGGGAGCAAACAGGAUUAGAUACCCUGGUAGUCCACGCCCUAAACGAUGUAUACUAGUUGUUGCUUCGCUAGUCGAGGCAGUAAUGCACCUAACGGAUUAAGUAUACCGCCUGGGGAGUACGGUCGCAAGAUUAAAACUCAAAGGAAUAGACGGGGACCCGCACAAGCGGUGGAGCAUGUGGUUUAAUUCGAAGAUACGCGAAGAACCUUACCCGGACUUGAUAUCUAACAAAUCAUCCAGAGAUGGAAGAGUGUCUGCUUGCAGAAAUGUUAAGACAGGUGCUGCACGGCUGUCGUCAGCUCGUGUCGUGAGAUGUUGGGUUAAGUCCCGCAACGAGCGCAACCCACGUAUUUAGUUGCUAACGGUUAGGCCGAGCACUCUAAAUAGACUGCCUUCGUAAGGAGGAGGAAGGUGUGGACGACGUCAAGUCAUCAUGGCCCUUAUGUCCGGGGCGACACACGUGCUACAAUGGCGUAUACAAUGAGACGCAAUAUCGCGAGAUGGAGCAAAUCUAUAAAAUAUGUCCCAGUUCGGAUUGGAGUCUGCAACUCGACUCCAUGAAGCCGGAAUCGCUAGUAAUCGUAGAUCAGCCAUGCUACGGUGAAUACGUUCCCGGGUCUUGUACUCACCGCCCGUCACACCAUGGGAGUUGAUUUCACUCGAAGCCCAAAUACCAAACCGGUUAUGGUCCACAGUGGAAUCAGCGACUGGGGUGAAGUCGUAACAAGGUAACCGUAGGAGAACCUGCGGUUG
rnacentral:rRNA from 1 species